CUUGAAAUCGAGAAAUGGUCCGAAAUUGGAACUCUACAGAGAAUAUUAGCAUGGCCCCUGCACAAAGAUGACACGCACAAAUUGAGAAAUGGUCCAAAUUUUU